rnacentral:rRNA from 1 species
UGGGCGUAAGCGCACGCAGGCGGUCUGUCAAGUCGGAUGUGAAAUCCCCGGGCUCAACCUGGGAACUGCAUUCGAAACUGGCAGGCUAGAGUCUUGUAGAGGGGGGUAGAAUUCCAGGUGUAGCGGUGAAAUGCGUAGAGAUCUGGAGGAAUACCGGUGGCGAAGGCGGCCCCCUGGACAAAGACUGACGCUCAGGUGCGAAAGCGUGGGGAGCAAACAGGAUUAGAUACCCUGGUAGUCCACGCCGUAAACGAUGUCGACUUGGAGGUUGUGCCCUUGAGGCGUGGCUUCCGGAGCUAACGCGUUAAGUCGACCGCCUGGGGAGUACGGCCGCAAGGUUAAAACUCAAAUGAAUUGACGGGGGCCCGCACAAGCGGUGGAGCAUGUGGUUUAAUUCGAUGCAACGCGAAGAACCUUACCUACUCUUGACAUCCAGAGAACUUUCCAGAGAUGGAUUGGUGCCUUCGGGAACUCUGAGACAGGUGCUGCAUGGCUGUCGUCAGCUCGUGUUGUGAAAUGUUGGGUUAAGUCCCGCAACGAGCGCAACCCUUAUCCUUUGUUGCCAGCGGUUAGGCCGGGAACUCAAAGGAGACUGCCAGUGAUAAACUGGAGGAAGGUGGGGAUG